UACGGGGGGGGGCAAGCGUUGUUCGGAAUUACUGGGCGUAAAGGGCUCGUAGGUGGCCAACUAAGUCGGACGUGAAAUCCCUCGGCUUAACCGGGGAACUGCGUCUGAUACUGGAUGGCUUGAGUUCGGGAGAGGGAUGCGGAAUUCCAGGUGUAGCGGUGAAAUGCGUAGAUAUCGGGAGGAACACCGGUGGCGAAGGCGGCGACCUGGGUAGACUACUGACGCUGAGGCGCGAAAGCGGUGGGAGCAAACAGGG
rnacentral:rRNA from 1 species